AUGUAAUUUCUCACACUAUAAAGUAGUUAUACAAAUGUAUACUUCAACAUGCAAAUGAGAGAACAUAUGGCACAUAUUCUUAAGUUUGUUUAUUUCUUGAUUAUUUUUGUUUUCAUAUUUAUUGUUGUAAUCGAUGGAGUUAUCAUAUGCCAAUCUAAUAGAGAGUGUCGUAGAGAAAUGACUCAUUGCAUGCGUCCAAAACAUCCAAAGUGUAUAGGAGGGACAUGUGUAUGUUGGUAAAUAAUAGUAAGAAAAAAGUUUUAAAAUAUUCCAUGUAUUCGCAAACUUCAACCUAUAAUUUCUGAACAUUAAAUUAAUUUGAUCC